GCGGCAGCAGCGGAUCUGCGCACAGCCUACUGAACCAUUGCAUAUUGUUUUUACAGCGCAUGUCGUCGGUGCACUGCCCCGUGUCAAGGGAAAUACGGUGGUCAUCGUGGGAGUGACUGCUGACCUUUCAAAUAGCCUCGACGCAUCGCCCCGUAUCAUAUCAG
rnacentral:lncRNA from 1 species